rnacentral:rRNA from 1 species
UACGUAGGGUGCAAGCGUUGUCCGGAAUUAUUGGGCGUAAAGAGCUCGUAGGCGGUUCGUCGCGUCGGCUGUGAAAACCCGGGGCUCAACCCCGGGCCUGCAGUCGAUACGGGCAGACUAGAGUGCGGUAGGGGAGACUGGAAUUCCUGGUGUAGCGGUGGAAUGCGCAGAUAUCAGGAGGAACACCGAUGGCGAAGGCAGAUCUCUGGGCCGUAACUGACGCUGAGGAGCGAAAGCGUGGGGAGCGAACAGG